rnacentral:rRNA from 1 species
AGUGAACGCUGGCGGUAGGCCUAACACAUGCAAGUCGAACGGCAGCACAGUAAGAGCUUGCUCUUACGGGUGGCGAGUGGCGGACGGGUGAGGAAUACAUCGGAAUCUACUUUUUCGUGGGGGAUAACGUAGGGAAACUUACGCUAAUACCGCAUACGACCUACGGGUGAAAGCAGGGGAUCUUCGGACCUUGCGCGAUUGAAUGAGCCGAUGUCGGAUUAGCUAGGUGGCGGGGUAAAGGCCCACCAAGGCGACGAUCCGUAGCUGGUCUGAGAGGAUGAUCAGCCACACUGGAACUGAGACACGGUCCAGACUCCUACGGGAGGCAGCAGUGGGGAAUAUUGGACAAUGGGGGCAAGCCUGAUACAGCCCUACCGCGUGGGUGAAGAAGGACUUCGGGUUGUAAAGCCCUUUUGUUGGGAAAGAAAAGCAGCAGGUUAAUACCCCGCUGUUCUGACGGUACCCAAAGAAUAAGCACCGGCUAACUUCGUG